rnacentral:rRNA from 1 species
UACGGGGGGGGUAAGCGUUGUUCGGAAUUACUGGGCGUAAAGGGCUCGUAGGCGGCCAACUAAGUCAUACGUGAAAUCCCUCAGCUUAACUGGGGAACUGCGUGUGAUACUGGAUGGCUUGGAUUUGGGAGAGGGAUGCGGAAUUCCAGGUGUAGCGGUGAAAUGCGUAGAUAUCUGGAGGAAUACCGGUGGCGAAGGCGGCAUCCUGGACCAUUACUGACGCUGAGACGCGAAAGCGUGGGGAGCAAACAGG